AUUGAACGCUGGCGGCAUGCCUUACACAUGCAAGUCGAACGGCAGCAUGAUCUCGCUUGCUAGAUUGAUGGCGAGUGGCGGACGGGUGAGUCAUACAUCGGAACGUGCCCUGUCGUGGGGGAUAACUAGUCGAAAGAUUAGCUAAUACCGCAUACGACCUGCUGGUGAAAGUGGGGGACCGCAAGGCCUCGUGCUAUAGGAGCCGCCGAUGUCUGAUUAGCUUGUUGGUGAGGUAAGGGCUCACCAAGGCGACGAUCAGUAACUGGUCUGAGAGGACGAUCAGCGACUCGGGGAGUGAGAGACGGCCCAGAGUCCUACGGGAGGCAGAGGUGGGGAAUGUUGGACAAUGGGCGGAAUCCUGAUACAUCAAUGCCGGGUGUGUGAAGAAGGCCUUCGGGUUGUAAGGCACUUUUGUCCGGAAAGAAAUGGAUCUGCUUAAUACCUGGGGUAGAUGACGGUACCGGAAGAAUAAGGACCGGCUAACUACGUG
rnacentral:rRNA from 1 species